UACGUAGGGCGCAAGCGUUGUCCGGAUUUAUUGGGCGUAAAGAGCUCGUAGGCGGUUUGUCGCGUCUUCCGUGAAAACUGGGGGCUUAACUUCCAGCUUGCGGUGGAUACGGGCUGACUGGAGUGCGGCAGGGGAGACUGGAAUUCCUGGUGUAGCGGUGAAAUGCGCAGAUAUCAGGAGGAACACCGGUGGCGAAGGCGGGUCUCUGGGCCACUACUGACGCUGAGAAGCGAAAGCAUGGGGAGCGAACAGG
rnacentral:rRNA from 1 species